rnacentral:rRNA from 1 species
GACGAACGCUGGCGGCGUGCUUAACACAUGCAAGUCGAACGGAAAGGCCCUGCUUUUGUGGGGUGCUCGAGUGGCGAACGGGGGAGUAACACGUGAGUAACCUGUCCUUGACUUUGGGAUAACUUCAGGAAACUGGGGCUAAUACCGGAUAGGAGCUCCUGCUGCACGGUGGGGGUUGGAAAGUUUCGGCGGUUGGGGAUUGACUCGCGGCUUAUCAGCUUGUUGGUGGGGUAGUGGCUUACCAAGGCUUUGACGGGUAGCCGGCCUGAGAGGGUGACCGGCCACAUUGGGACUGAGAUACGGCCCAGACUCCUACGGGAGGCAGCAGUGGGGAAUAUUGCACAAUGGGCGGAAGCCUGAUGCGGCAGCGCCGCGUGCGGGAUGACGGCCUUCGGGUUGUAAACCGCUUUCGCCUGUGACGAAGCGUGAGUGACGGUAAUGGGUAAAGAAGCACCGGCUAACUACGUG